UUCGCCCUUAGAGUUUGAUCCUGGCUCAGAGCGAACGCUGGCGGCAGGCUUAACACAUGCAAGUCGAACGGGCUUCUUCGGAAGUCAGUGGCAGACGGGUGAGUAACACGUGGGAACGUGCCCUUCGGUUCGGAAUAACUCAGGGAAACUUGAGCUAAUACCGGAUACGCCCUUAUGGGGAAAGGUUUACUGCCGAAGGAUCGGCCAGCGUCUGAUUAGCUUGUUGGUGGGGUAACGGCCUACCAAGGCGACGAUCAGUAGCUGGUCUGAGAGGAUGAUCAGCCACACUGGGACUGAGACACGGCCCAGACUCCUACGGGAGGCAGCAGAAGGG
rnacentral:rRNA from 1 species